AAUUUAUAAUUAUAAAUUAUAUAAUUUAUAAUAUUUGUUUAUUCUAAAAUAUAUGCCUUUUUGGGUGUUAUUUUUGGUCUCAUUUACAGUACAUAAUGCUUUAAAGAAAUCACAAGAUUAUUUUCUUUAUGUCUUGUAGGUGCAAAGAAUAGCAGCUGAUGUGGAGAAAUGUUCGAUGCUUCAAGACUCUGAAGCUGAUUUUAUUAGGUCCACCCAGUGGCUUUUGACUAUUUGAGGGUCAGAUGGUUGUGAAUUCAUACCUCAACAUUGUGCGUCCCGGGAGCAGGCAUCUUUUGCACACUUUAAUUUUUUCAAAGAUGUUUUCUUGGAAUCACAACACUCACUGGAUACAAGACAGACACAUGGAGGCAAAACAAGUGGAAAAGUCUCAGAAGAGGGACAACCCUCAUGUGUGUGCUCAUCUCAGAAAGUUGAUGGACUUUCAGUAUGUAUUUAUUAAAUUGUCUUUUGCAGGAAUACUCUUAAUUUAAUAGAACAUAAGCUCAAACAACAUAAUUUGUGAUUUAAUGUUGAUUCCAG